rnacentral:rRNA from 1 species
GGAGCGACGCCGCGUGGAUGAUGAAGGCCGAAAGGUUGUAAAGCCCUUUUGCUGGGGAAGAAUAAGCGUGGGAGGGAAUGCCCGCGUGAUGACAUGAACCGGCGAAUAAGCCCCGGCUAACUACGCGCCAGCAGCCGCGGUAACACGUAGGGGGCGAGCGUUGUUCGGAAUUACUGGGCGUAAAGGGCAUGUAGGCGGCUUUGUAAGCUUGGCGUGAAAUACAACGGCUUAACCGUUGGGAUGCGUUGAGAACUGCGAGGCUUGAGUGACGGAGAGGGAGCUAGAAUUCCUGGUGUAGGGGUGGAAUCUGUAGAGAUCAGGAAGAAUACCAAUGGCGAAGGCAAGCUCCUGGCCGAUGACUGACGCUGAGGUGCGAAAGUGUGGGGAUCAAACAGGAUUAGAUACCCUGGUAA